GAAUAAUUGUGAGAAAUAAAACGAUAUAAGGGAUUGGACGGUCUACAGGUGACGUGGUGGACGCGGUCUAGGAGAGAAGAAGCAGGCCAAAAUCGAGCUCCAGCUUCUGAUUCCUUCCAGAGCGUUCGAUUCCAAUCACACUCUUCUCCCUCCUUCGACCUUCUCCUCCGCGCCCGAUGCCUCCCACCAUUUCCAAACCCACCACCUCCACCUCCGCUGCAUCCUCCGCCGACGAUAAGAUCCUCAGCUAUGGCGACGUGGUCCUUCGCCGCUCCGAUCUCUCCAUCCUCCGCGGCCCCCACUACCUCAACGAUCGCCUCAUCGACUUCUUCUUCGCCCACCUCUCCUCCUCCUUCUCCGGCGCCGGCGACAUCCUCAGCGGCGGUGGACGCGGAGGCGAUCGCCUCCUCCUCGUCUCGCCCUCCGUCGCCUUCUGGAUCGCCAACGCACCCGACGCCGCCGACGCCGUGGAGCCCCUCCGCCUCCGCGACCGCGACCUCGCGCUCUUCGCCGUCAACGACAACCCCGACGUCGCCCUCGCCGAGGGCGGAUCCCACUGGAGCCUCCUCGUAUACCACGCCGCCGCGCGCGAGUUCGUCCACCACGACAGCGGCCGCGGCCUGAACCGCGGCCCCGCCGCGCGGCUCUACGGCGCGCUCAAGGGCUUCGUCGGCGAAGGGGACGACGAGGCGCGGCUCGUCGAGGGCCCCACGCCGCAGCAGGGCAACGGCUACGAUUGCGGUUUCUUCGUUCUGGCGAUCGCGAUGGCGGUGUGCGAUUGGUAUCGCAAGGGGCGUAGGGACGAAGAGGGAGAGAGGUGGUUCUCCGAUUUGAGGAAGGACGUGGAUGGAAAUGCAGCUCGCGAGCUGAGAGUGUCAAGUAAGCGGGCCGAGGGCGUGGUUGUGUUUCACCGGAUCAGCAGAAGUCUCUCACCUUGCCGAACUGCGAUCCUCGACUUUUGGAGGAGAUCGAUGAAGUCUGAGGUCGGUCGCAGCGUCUACGAACACCGAUCCUCGACUUUUGGAGGAGAUCGAUGAACUCAGAGGUCGGUCGCAGCGUCUACGAACACCGGCUCCGGAGCGCGACUUUAUCCCCUACUGCAGUAAAAGUCGAGAUCAAGCGCACAUCCGUGGCGGAACAAGCACAUCCUGAACUUAUAAGCUGUUGCUUGUUGAAACUGAAAGGGGUAAUUCCAAUAUUGGUUCCGCAUUUGAUCCUACACCUCUAAAACUCUCCUAAGUAAUUAGAUAAUAAUAAAGAAUAAAUUAUAAUUUGCUCAUUGUACGUGGAUUAUUAAUUGAAUAGCAUUAUAUAAGUAAUAUCAAGAAAAAUGAAAAAAAAAAGUUAUAUAAUUAUAUUAGAUGUGAAAUUAAUAGCAUUUAUGUUAAGAAGCCGGACGGUAAUAGAUUCUUUAACAAAUUCUUUUCAUACUUUUCGUUGACAAAUGAGAACACUAUUCUUAUGUAUUAAUUUAUUUUCCUCCUUUUGUCCCUGCUUUUUGUUUUUUUUUUUUUCUUUCUCACGAAAAAUUACUGUAUCACACUUACAUCACAUUAUUAAUAAUAAAUUAAUUAUAUUUUUUAAAAAAUAUAAUAAAAAUAAUAUUUUUUAUAAUUAUAAUUAGU